CGUGGCGGACGGGUGAGUAACGCGUGGGUAACCUGCCUCAUACAGGGGGAUAACGGUUAGAAAUGACUGCUAAUACCGCAUAAGCGCACAGUACCGCAUGGUACGGUGUGAAAAACUCCGGUGGUAUGAGAUGGACCCGCGUCUGAUUAGGUAGUUGGUGAGGUAACGGCCCACCAAGCCGACGAUCAGUAGCCGACCUGAGAGGGUGACCGGCCACAUUGGGACUGAGACACGGCCCAG
rnacentral:rRNA from 1 species